AGGCAGCAGUGGGGAAUAUUGCACAAUGGGCGCAAGCCUGAUGCAGCCAUGCCGCGUGUAUGAAGAAGGCCUUCGGGUUGUAAAGUACUUUCAGCAGUGAGGAAGGCAGGUACGUUAAUAGCGUGCUUGUUUGACGUUAGCUGCAGAAGAAGCACCGGCUAACUCCGUGCCAGCAGCCGCGGUAAUACGGAGGGUGCGAGCGUUAAUCGGAAUUACUGGGCGUAAAGCGCAUGCAGGUGGUUUGUUAAGUCAGAUGUGAAAGCCCCGGGGCUCAACCUCGGAAUUGCAUUUGAAACUGGCAGACUAGAGUACUGUAGAGGGGGUAGAAUUUCAGGUGUAGCGGUGAAAAUGCGUAGAGAUCUGAAGGAAUACCGGUGGCGAAGGCGGCCCCCUGGACAGAUACUGACACUCAGAUGCGAAAGCGUGGGGAGCAAACAGGAUUAGAUACCCUGGUAG
rnacentral:rRNA from 1 species